CAAAAGGAUUUUUCUUGUCCUUU
rnacentral:snRNA from 1 species